CCUACGGGCGGCAGCUGUGGGGGAUAUUGCACAAUGGGGGAAACCCUGAUGCAGCGACGCCGCGUGUGGGAAGACGGUCCUCUGGAUUGUAAACCACUGUCCCCAGGGACGAAGAUGACGGUACCUGGGGAGGAAGCUCCGGCUAACUACGUGCCAGCAGCCGCGGUAAUACGUAGGGCGCGAGCGUUGUCCGGAAUUACUGGGGGAAAAGGGAGCGUAGGCGGGACUGCAAGUUGGGUGUCAAAUCUACCGGCUCAACCGGUAGCCGCACUCAAAACUGCAGUUCUUGAGUGAAGUAGAGGCAGGCGGAAUUCCUAGUGUAGCGGUGAAAUGCGUAGAUAUUAGGAGGAACACCAGUGGCGAAGGCGGCCUGCUGGGCUUUUACUGACGCGGAGGCUCGAAAGUGUGGGGAGCAAACAGGAUUAGAUACCCUUGUAGUC
rnacentral:rRNA from 1 species